UUGGCUUAAAUUCUAACCAAAUUUCAUGCAAAAAUGUUCUAAGCAUGGUGCAAAGGUUCUAUUUACCACAUCAAUAUUUUUCCAUCCAUUUUAUUUUGGCAAUUGUAGUUGAAAAUAACUACCUGGUGCCUAAUUUAGCUCACAAAGUUUUGCAAUCGUGAUGAAAAAAUUUAGCUCCUAUCAGAAACAGUGGAUCAUGCUAAUAAUAGAUUUGUGAGAAACAAAC
rnacentral:lncRNA from 1 species